rnacentral:rRNA from 1 species
AACGAACGCUGGCGGCAGGCCUAACACAUGCAAGUCGAACGCCCUAGCAAUAGGGAGUGGCAGACGGGUGAGUAACACGUGGGAACCUUCCCUAUAGUACGGAAUAGCUCAGGGAAACUUGAAGUAAUACCGUAUACGCCCGAGAGGGGAAAGAUUUAUCGCUAUAGGAUGGGCCCGCGUCGGAUUAGCUAGUUGGUGAGGUAAUGGCUCACCAAGGCGACGAUCCGUAGCUGGUUUGAGAGAACGACCAGCCACACUGGACUGAGACACGGCCCAGACUCCUACGGAGGCAGCAGUGGGGAAUAUUGGACAAUGGGCGCAAGCCUGAUCCAGCCAUGCCGCGUGAGUGAUGAAGGCCUUAGGGUUGUAAAGCUCUUUUAGCAGGGAAGAUAAUGACUGUACCUGCAGAAUAAGACUCCGGCUAAACUU